GCCGAAGUGGUCUAGUGGUAUGAUUCGUGUUUCGGGAAAACCCAGUCUUCCAAAGAUUAUAUACGAGGUCCCGGGUUCAAAUCCCGGCUUCGGCC